rnacentral:rRNA from 1 species
GAUGAACGCUGGCGGCGUGCCUAAUACAUGCAAGUCGAGCGAAUGGAUUAAGAGCUUGCUCUUAUGAAGUUAGCGGCGGACGGGUGAGUAACACGUGGGUAACCUGCCCAUAAGACUGGGAUAACUCCGGGAAACCGGGGCUAAUACCGGAUAACAUUUUGAACCGCAUGGUUCGAAAUUGAAAGUCGGCUUAGGCUGUCACUUAUGGAUGGACCCGCGUCGCAUUAGCUAGUUGGUGAGGUAACGGCUCACCAAGGCAACGAUGCGUAGCCGACCUGAGAGGGUGAUCGGCCACACUGGGACUGAGACACGGCCCAGACUCCUACGGGAGGCAGCAGUAGGGAAUCUUCCGCAAUGGACGAAAGUCUGACGGAGCAACGCCGCGUGAGUGAUGAAGGCUUUCGGGUCGUAAAACUCUGUUGUUAGGGAAGAACAAGUGCUAGCUGAAUAAGCUGGCACCUUGACGGUACCUAACCAGAAAGCCACGGCUAACUACGUGCCAGCCGCCGCAGUAA